rnacentral:rRNA from 1 species
UUCGCAAUGCCCGAAAGGGUGACGGAGCGACGCCGCGUGUAGGAUGAAGUCCCUCGGGAUGUAAACUACUGUCAGGGGAAAGAAAGUUCUGAUCUACCCCAGAGGAAGGCACGGCUAACUCUGUGCCAGCAGCCGCGGUAAGACGAACCGUGCGAACGUUAUUCGGAAUCACUGGGCUUAAAGCGCGUGUAGGCGGGUGAGCGCGUCCGUCGCUGAAAUCCCCCGGCUCAACCGGGGAACUGGCGUGGAUGCGGCUCGCCUGGAGGGGCGUAGGGGGACCUGGAACUUCCGGUGGAGCGGUGAAAUGCGUUGAGAUCGGAAGGAACGCCCGUGGCGAAAGCGAGGUCCUGGACGCCUACUGACGCUGAGACGCGAAAGCCAGGGGAGCGAACGGGAUUAGAUACCCCGGUAGUCCUGGCCGUAAACGAUGGGCACUAAGUAGAGGGGUUUU